UUCGCAAUGCCCGAAAGGGUGACGAAGCGACGCCGCGUGUGGGAAGAAGGCCUUCGGGUUGUAAACCACUGUCGGGAGUUAAGAAAUACAAGGAUAUUAAUAGUGUCUUUGUUUGACUAAGGCUCCGGAGGAAGCCACGGCUAACUCUGUGCCAGCAGCCGCGGUAAUACAGAGGCGGCAAGCGUUGUUCGGAAUUAUUGGGCGUAAAGAGCACGUAGGCGGCUAUGUAAGUCGGUUGUGAAAGCCUUCCGCUCAACGGAAGAACAGCAUCCGAUACUACAUGGCUUGAGUGCGGGAGGGGAGAGUGGAACUUCUGGUGGAGCGGUGAAAUGCGUAGAUAUCAGAAGGAACGCCGGCGGCGAAAGCGGCUCUCUGGCCCAUAACUGACGCUGAGUGUGCGAAAGCUAGGGGAGCAAACGGGAUUGGAUACCCCGGUAGUCCUAGCCGUAAACGAUGGGCACUAAGUAGAGGGGUUUUA
rnacentral:rRNA from 1 species